rnacentral:lncRNA from 1 species
UGGAUGAAGGCGCUCGUGGAUAACGUUGGGAAUAAAGGGAGCUUGAUUAGGCCUAGAGAAGCUAGGCGAGAACACCCAUAUCGCUAUUAAAAAUUCCUACUACCUUGAAUGGGGCAUUCUGGUUGCUGUUGUGUGCCUAGGCUAUCAGAAAGCCUUUGAGGUUCUGCAUAAAAGCCCUUCAGUAACCAAUAAGAUGCCUAAGCGGAAUGUAUGACAACUGUGUGCCGAUGUGCCCACAUUGCUAGAGUGGCGAGUAGUAACCCUAAUUACU